UUUCAAAACCUGCCAUUGAACAAGCCUCUCGCAUGAGCUCUUCGGCUGAGACUAAAUCCUUCUGAUGAAAGGAAAUCAAACCCCUCACCAGGUUAUACACAGCUAUCCACAUAUUCCAUGAAUUUGCACCGCAUUCUUCAAAACACACCCAAAGAAAUAACAAAGACGUACCAUGACAUAGAAAAAGGCAGCUUUCAAAACCUGCCAUUGAACAAGCCUCUCGCAUGAGCUCUUCGGCUGAGACUAAAUCCUUCUGAUGAAAGGAAAUCAAACCCCUCACCAGGUUAUACACAGCUAUCCACAUAUUCCAUGAAUUUGCACCCUUUUUAAGGCAUUCUUCAAAGUUCGAAUCAAUGAGAUUUGAAUCAAUUUGCAAUUGAUAAUGGCAUUCCAUAAGUUUGAGAGACAUCCAACCAAUAUGGCAAUC
rnacentral:lncRNA from 1 species